GGCCCUCAACACUAUCUUCCCUGGACACAAGUCUGGGGACAGCCGGCUGUUGUGGACCCCAAAGGGGUGACUCCCGGCUCCUGGGCCCCACAGAGAGUCCAUGUUCUCAGUGCAGUGGCUGAGCUGGAGGACGCCCUGGAACUCGGAGCACGCAGCACUGGCUUGCUGUGGUACCUGUGCAAUCAAAUUGAAGGCAGGAUCCCAGGAAGGAAGGCAGGGCUUGCAGGAUCACGGAAAACCUUCUUAGAGUUGUCUUGACACCACUGAUGUCAAGUGUCCGGGUGCUUGUAGGAUGGCCUGCCACUCAGUCCACGGGCAGGAGCAACGGGGAGAUCCCACAAGCAAAGUGAACUGGGGGAUGGGCUGAACGGGCUCCAGGCAACUGAGCCCUACUGGCAGGUCCUCGGCCUGGGCCCGAACAGGAAGGAGGGGCACAGAGUGCCCAGGUAACCGCUCCUGGGAGCAGUGGGGAACCGUCGGUUGCUUGAACUCUCGAGAGCUGGGCUCUGAGCGUCCUCGUCCAGCCGCCAACUCGGCCAACGGCUAAGCCAGCAGUUUCUUCUGUUGCCGGGCAACGCGCCUUUUAAACCUGAGGGAGCGGGCGCGUGAGCACAUCACGGCGCCCGUGACAGAGCGAGCUUAACGGAUUAAUAAGCGCAGCCAGUGUUCUUGGGGAAGAUCCCGACUUAGCCAUUUUCCAGUGGCACCUCUUCCACCAUGAGUUCCUGAGGCAGUCCGAUGGGGCUACUUUAUUCCAGAACAAUCACAGUGUGGUGUCAGCACAGCGGCAGGUCACCGUUCAGGAAGGACCCUUGUACCGCACGGAGGGCUCCCACAUCACUAUCUGGUGCAAUGUGAGUGGCUACCAGGGACCUUCUGAACAGAAUUUCCAGUGGUCCAUUUACCUGCCUUCGUCGCCAGAGCGAGAGGUGCAGAUCGUCAGCACCAUGGACUCUUCCUUCCCCUAUGCCAUCUACACCCAGCGCGUCCGCGGAGGGAAGAUCUUCAUAGAAAGAGUCCAGGGGAACCCAACCCUAUUGCACAUCACAGAUCUUCAGGCCCGGGAUGCCGGGGAAUAUGAAUGCCACACACCCAGCACCGAGAAGCAAUACUUUGGGAGUUAACAGUGCAAAGAUGAACCUAGUGGCUGUUUCCACCAAAUCCUCCUGUCUUUCGUGGCCAACACCCCAGGCAAGGCUUGGGGCCCCCGUCUGCUGCUGGACGCAGAGCCAUGAAGAAGAAGUUAGUGGUGCUGGGCCUGCUGGCCGUGGUCCUGGUGCUGGUCAUUGUCGGCCUCUGUCUCUGGCUGCCCUCGGCCUCCAAGGAACCUGACAACCAUGUGUACACCAGGGCUGCCAUGGCCGCGGAUGCCAAGCAGUGCUUGGAGAUUGGGAGGAAAAGCUGAGGUCAUCAAUGCCCGCGAGGUGGCCCCCAGGCUGGCCUUUGCCAGCAUGUUCAACAGCUCGGAGCAGUCCCAGAAGGGAGGGCUGUCGGUGGCGGUGCCUGGGGAGAUCCGAGGCUAUGAGCUGGCACACCAGCGGCAUGGGCGGCUGCCCUGGGCUCGCCUCUUCCAGCCCAGCAUCCAGCUGGCCCGCCAGGGCUUCCCUGUGGGCAAGGGCUUGGCGGCAGUCCUGGAAAACAAGCGGACUGUCAUCGAGCAGCAGCCUGUCUUGUGGGGGCAUUGUGACAGCUGAGGACCUGAACAACUACCGUGCUGAGCUGAUCGAGCACCCGCUGAACAUCAGCCUGGGAGACGCGGUGCUGUACAUGCCCAGUGCGCGGCUCAGCGGGCCCGUGCUGGCCCUCAUCCUCAACAUCCUCAAAGGGUACAACUUCUCCCGGGAGAGCGUGGAGACCCCCGAGCAGAAGGGCCUGACGUACCACCGCAUCGUAGAGGCUUUCCGGUUUGCCUACGCCAAGAGGACCCUGCUUGGGGACCCCAAGUUUGUGGAUGUGACUGAGGUGGUCCGCAACAUGACCUCUGAGUUCUUCGCUGCCCAGCUCCGGUCCCAGAUCUCUGACCACACCACUCACCCGAUCUCCUACUACAAGCCCGAGUUCUACACGCCGGAUGACGGGGGCACUGCUCACCUGUCUGUCGUCGCAGAGGACGGCAGUGCUGUGUCCGCCACCAGCACCAUCAACCUCUACUUUGGCUCCAAGGUCUGCUCCCCGGUCAGUGGGAUCCUGUUCAAUAAUGAAUGGACGACUUCAGCUCUCCCAGCAUUCACCAAUGAGUUUGGGGCACCCCCCUCACCUGCCAAUUUCAUCCAGCCAGGGAAGCAGCCGCUCUUGUCCAUGUGCCUGACGAUCAUGGUGGGCCAGGACGGCCAGGUCCGGAUGGUGGUGGGAGCUGCUGGGGGCACGCAGAUCACCACAGACACUGCACUGGCCAUCAUCUACAACCUCUGGUUCGGCUAUGACGUGAAGAGGGCCGUGGAGGAGCCCCGGCUGCACAACAAGCUUCUGCCCAACGUCACGACAGUGGAGAGAAACAUUGACCAGGCAGUGACUGCAGCCCUGGAGACCCGGCACCAUCACACCCAGAUCGCGUCCACCUUCAUCGCUGUGGUGCAAGCCAUCGUCCGCACGGCUGGUGGCUGGGCAGCUGCCUCGGACUCCAGGAAAGGCGGGGAACCUGCUGGCUACUGA
ensembl:lncRNA novel transcript